GUGUCAGCAGCCGCGGUAAUACGAAGGGGGCUAGCGUUGCUCGGAAUCACUGCGCGUAAAGCGCACGUAGGCGGCUUUUUAAGUAAGGGGUGAAAUCCUGGAGCUCAACUCCAGAACUGCCUUUUAUACUGGGAAGCUUGAGUCCGGGAGAGGUGAGUGGAACUCCGAGUGUAGAGGUGAAAUUCGUAGAUAUUCGGAAGAACACCAGUGGCGAAGGCGGCUCACUGGCCCGGUACUGACGCUGAGGUGCGAAAGCGUGGGGAGCAAACAGGAUUAGAUACCCUUGUAGUCC
rnacentral:rRNA from 1 species